rnacentral:lncRNA from 12 species
UGAGAGAGAAAAAAAAAGAGUAUGUGUGAGUAUGAGCAGGGGGAGGGGCAGAGGAAGAGGGAGAGGGAGAAGCAGACUCUUGGUUGAGCAGGUAGCCCAAUGAGGGGCUAAACCCCAGGGCCCCAAGAUCAUGACCUGAAAGUCAGACACUGCACCAACUGAGUCACCCAUGCACCCUGUUUCCAGGAGUUGUAAGGGCUAGACACUUUCUGCCUGCCCUUCCUGCCUGGCCCACAUUUCCUGCCAAGGUUUAGAAACCAUAGAAAGUCCCUAAAUUAGGAGUUUGCAGUUGGCAGUCAAUGAGCACUGAGCCACUCAGGGCUGGAGGGAUGUGGAUGGGGUACUGAUAGGGUUGGCUGCUGUGUUCUUUCCUGAUACAUCCAGAGGCAGCUCUCCACCAGACCUCCAGGCAGCGACCACUGCUCAACUGGAAUUGCUUCCAAACAAUGACAGAUGAGGCAAUCCCAGGAUAUUAAAAUUAAAUGCAGGAGCCAUUUGUGUUAGCUGCUGUCAGGUAA